CAUCCUGUGGCAGUACCCCAGUUCAUCAUAACUUUUUCAUGGGGACCCCCAAAAUCAACAAAACCACCUUGGAAGACAGACCUCCUGGUUCCAUACCUGAACCAUCCCCAACAGGGAAGAAGAAGAGACUAUCUGAACUAUUCAAAGAGAGUCUGAGAGAAGAACCAGAAGCUGAUGACCUGCAUAACUCUGGCAAGCAGAAUACUGCCAAUGGGAAGA
rnacentral:misc_RNA from 1 species